rnacentral:lncRNA from 1 species
UCUUAUGUAUGAAUAUUGUGCAAAGGUGAAAGAAAGGAAUGAUAAGUUACCUUAAGUGACCUUAAUGUGGUGCCUUAGUAUGGAUGGUGGUAUGGGACGCCAUCCAUACAUUGCACGAGGUAUAGCAUAAGGGUUUCUUGAGGUGAAGGUCCAAGGUAAAGGUUUUCAUGUUGAAAUUGUUUAAAGGUAAUAUUAUGACUUACUUGAUGUUUAUGCUUGUAUUGUAUGUCUUUUAUGCAACUAUUCAUGGUACUUCAAAAAGUGGCAUAAUGCAUGGUUUCUAACCAAAAUGUCCCUUUUAAAGCAUGUUUUGCAUGGUCAUCAUACUUAGUACAUUUUGUGUAUUAACCCAUAUUCUUCAUAUUUUUACUAUAAGUGUAGGUUCCGGCAAGUGAUCCCUCUUAGCUAGUUUGAAGUGUUGGAUUGCUUUCCUCCAAGACUUGGUAUGUCCUCAUGGAUUCGAGGAUAAGACUUUUAAGUUCUUUUGUUCAUGUAAUAGACUUAAUAGACUUCUUUUGAUUGUAAAGGGCUUUGUCCCUACUUAUGUUUUGUGACUGUGUCUAAGAUGGCCAUGUGAGACUUAGACUUCCGCUGUGUG